rnacentral:rRNA from 1 species
UACGGAGGGAGCAAGCGUUACUCGGAAUUAUUGGGCGUAAAGGGCGCGUAGGCGAUUUGAAAAGUCUUGUGUGAAAAGCCCCGAGCUUAACUCGGGAAGUGCACAAGAAACUGUUGAAUUUGAGUUCCGGAGAGGAAGGCAGAAUUCCCGGUGUAGCGGUGAAAUGCGUAGAUAUCGGGAGGAAUACCAGUGGCGAAGGCGGCCUUCUGGACGGAUACUGACGCUGAGGCGCGAAAGCCAGGGGAGCAAACGGG